CGGGAUUUGUGAAUUCCAAGCCGCGUGCUGAGAAAGCAUUCCAUGCAUGACUUAUAAUUUAUGUAAGCAUAAGAUCAAAACUUAUUCGAAUAGAUUUGGUUGGGUAUUGGAAAUCGUCAUUUUGUCUGACCUUCAAUGUUAACCAAUUCUAUGGUGUUUUCAUUAUUUCCAGUCCAAAUUAUUACCAAGUCAAUUGCUUGUUUUGGACGUUCACGCCAUAUGCACAUAGAAGGA
rnacentral:lncRNA from 1 species